rnacentral:misc_RNA from 1 species
AACGCACAUUGCGCUCCCUGGUAUUCCGGGGAGCAUGCCUGUUCGAGCGUCAUUAUCAACCAUCAAGCCCUGCUUGGUAUUGGGUGCCGUCCCUGCUGCGGACGCGCCCUAAAGACUUUGGCGGUGGUGUUGAACCUCAAGCGUAGUAGAAUCUCCAGCUUUUCAGGUGCAACGUCGCUUUGCCUCUAGAAACCCCCUUUCUUAAGGUUGACCUCGGAUCAGGUAGGGAUACCCGCUGAACUUAA